GCAUGUAUGUAUGUAUUGUUAUGGUGCGUUAUUUAUGCGUCAAAUAUAUUUUCCAAUUAGGUAUUUUUUCAACCUUUAGGCUUCGGGUUCAAAUUAUAUUAACGCUACCGUAACACAAAUAGCAUGAAACCUUAUACCUUUUAUAUAUUUUAUUUACUUUCAACAAUAUGAAUUAGCGUCUCUAUAAUGUUAUAAUAAUAUAGUAAUCUUAAUAUAUCAACUUAUCUCUCUAUUUGUUUGAGCUGAGCACAACUUUGAAUCUUUAUUCUUUAUACUUUGUAUUCCGUCUUCUUUGAUAAUAAUUAUUCCACAAUAUUCCAAUGUUCUUCAGUUUACUUGACGAGGCUUAAUUAUCUAGCCUUUUAAUUAUAUACUUCAGCCUUUGUUGGCUUAUGAAGUAUUUUAGCCUAAAUGGCUCUUCUCACUUCACUCUCCGCUCUCGACUCUCAGGUUGUGCUCAGCUUUUAUAAUAAAUUUUAGAGGAAGAAAUCUGUAACUGUGACUAAUUUCCUCUACGCAAUAUGUUUGUCAAAGCAAGUUCUAGCAGUGUUUAUCAACCACAAAACUAUGUCCUGUUUGCGUGGUUUGUGGUACUAGGCGUUUCCCGUGGUUCUUUAAUCUCUCUGAAUAUUUGCUUAUUCAUGCGAGGAAGGUUGCCUAAGGUCUUCCUCUUAUAAUUAUAACAGUAUACUGAAUAUAUAGUAUUGAAUAUAUUAAAUAACAUGGUAUAACACUGCCAUGUUACA